rnacentral:rRNA from 1 species
ACAGCAGCCGCCACGGGAAUACGUAGGUGGCAAGCGUUGUCCGGAAUUAUUGGGCGUAAAGGGCUCGCAGGCGGUUUCCUAAGUCUGAUGUGAAAGCCCCCGGCUCAACCGGGGAGGGUCAUUGGAAACUGGGAAACUUGAGUGCAGAAGAGGAGAGUGGAAUUCCACGUGUAGCGGUGAAAUGCGUAGAGAUGUGGAGGAACACCAGUGGCGAAGGCGACUCUCUGGUCUGUAACUGACGCUGAGGAGCGAAAGCGUGGGGAGCGAACAGGAUUAGAUACCCCCGUAGUCCCUGUCUCUUAUAC